UACGUAGGGGGCAAGCGUUGUCCGGAUUUAUUGGGCGUAAAGCGCGUGUAGGCGGCCAGGUAGGUCCGCUGUGAAAACUCGAGGCUCAACCUCGAGACGUCGGUGGAAACCGUUUGGCUAGAGUCCGGAAGAGGAGAGUGGAAUUCCCGGUGUAGCGGUGAAAUGCGCAGAUAUCGGGAAGAACACCCGUAGCGAAGGCGGCUCUCUGGGACGGUACUGACGCUGAGACGCGAAAGCGUGGGGAGCGAACAGG
rnacentral:rRNA from 1 species